rnacentral:rRNA from 1 species
AACUUUUAAGUCAAAAGGCUUAAAUGUUUAUAAAAGACGAGAAGACCCUAUAGAUCUUUAUUUAAUUAAAAUUUUAAUAAUUUAGGAUUAUUUUAAUUUAAAUUUUUAAUUAAAUUUUAUUGGGGUAAUAUAAAGAUUAAAUAAAUUCUUUUUAUUGAUUACAUUAAUUUAUGAAUAUAUGAUCCAAUAUUAUUGAUUAUAAGAUUAAGUUACCUUAGGGAUAACAGCGUAAUUUUUUUGGAGAGCUCAUAUCGAUAAAAAAGUUUGCGACCUC